rnacentral:rRNA from 1 species
CCUCGGGAGGCAGCAGUGAGGAAUAUUGGUUAACGGACGAGAGUCUGAACCAGCCAAGUAGCGUGAAGGAUGACUGCCCUAUGGGUUGUAAACUUCUUUUAUAUGGGAAUAAAAUGUUCCACGUGUGGGAUUUUGUAUGUACCAUAUGAAUAAGGAUCGGCUAACUCCGUGCCAGCAGCCGCGGUAAUACGGAGGUGCAAGCGUUGUCCGGAAUUAUUGGGCGUAAAGAGUUCGUAGGCGGCACGUUAAGUCUGGUGGUAAAGGCAGAGGCUCAACUUCUGUACGGCACUGGAAACUUGCGAACUAGAGUGCGGUAGAGGUAAAGGGAAUUCCUGGUGUAGCGGUGAAAUGCUUAGAUAUCAGGAAGAACAUCGGUGGCGUAAGCACUUUACUGGGCCGUAAUUGACGCUGAGGAACGAAAGCGAGGGUAGCAAAUGGGAUUAGAUACCCUGGUAGUC